ensembl:miRNA
GAUUUCUUUGUGUCUGUGGUCUGAGGAAAUGAGCCAGCUGAGUUAGCAACUUCUUUGCUGGCUGUUUCUCAGUGACUGCAGCAUAAAAAUC